rnacentral:sRNA from 1 species
ACCAAAGCCCGCUUAGGCGGGCUU